GAUGAACGCUGGCGGCGUGCCUAAUACAUGCAAGUCGAGCGCAGCGGGGACAGGUGCGUAACACGUGGAUAACCUCCUAUAAGACUGGGAUAACUUCGGGAAACCGUUGCUAAACCGGCUACUUAUAUAUGGAUCCGCGCUGCAUUAGCUAGUUGGUAAGGUAACGGCUUACCAAGGCAACGAUGCAUAGCUGACCUGUGAGGAUGAUCGGCCACACGGGAACUGAGACACGUUCCAGACUCCUACGGGAGGCAGCAGUAGGGAAUCUUCCGCAAUGGGCGAAAGCCUGACGGAGCAACGCCGCGUGAGUGAUGAAGGUCUUCGGAUCGUAAAGCUCUGUGAUUAGGGAAGCGGUACCUAAAGAAAAAGCCACGGCUAACUACGUGCCAGCAGCCGCGGUAAUAC
rnacentral:rRNA from 1 species